rnacentral:rRNA from 1 species
UGAUGGAGCAACGCCGCGUGAGUGAAGAAGGGUUUCGGCUCGUAAAGCUCUGUUGUUAAAGAAGAACGUGGGUGAGAGUAACUGUUCACCCAGUGACGGUAUUUAACCAGAAAGCCACGGCUAACUACGUGCCAGCAGCCGCGGUAAUACGUAGGUGGCAAGCGUUAUCCGGAUUUAUUGGGCGUAAAGCGAGCGCAGGCGGUCUUUUAAGUCUAAUGUGAAAGCCUUCGGCUCAACCGAAGAAGUGCAUUGGAAACUGGGAGACUUGAGUGCAGAAGAGGACAGUGGAACUCCAUGUGUA